rnacentral:rRNA from 1 species
GAUGAACGCUGGCGGCGUGCCUAAUACAUGCAAGUCGAACGCACAGCGAAAGGUGCUUGCACCUUUCAAGUGAGUGGCGAACGGGUGAGUAACACGUGGACAACCUGCCUUAAGGCUGGGGAUAACAUUUGGAAACAGAUGCUAAUACCGAAUAAAACUCAGUGCCGCAUGACACAAAGUUAAAAGGCGCUUUGGCGUCACCUAGAGAUGGAUCCGCGGUGCAUUAGUUAGUUGGUGGGGUAAAGGCCUACCAAGACAAUGAUGCAUAGCCGAGUUGAGAGACUGAUCGGCCACAUUGGGACUGAGACACGGCCCAAACUCCUACGGGAGGCUGCAGUAGGGAAUCUUCCACAAUGGGCGAAAGCCUGAUGGAGCAACGCCGCGUGUGUGAUGAAGGCUUUCGGGUCGUAAAGCACUGUUGUAUGGGAAGAACAGCUAGAAUAGGGAAUGAUUUUAGUUUGACGGUACCAUACCAGAAAGGGACGGCUAAAUACGUGCCAGCCGCCGCCGUAA